UGGGGAAUAUUGCACAAUGGGCGCAAGCCUGAUGCAGCCAUGCCGCGUGUAUGAAGAAGGCCUUCGGGUUGUAAAGUACUUUCAGCGGGGAGGAAGGGAGUAAAGUUAAUACCUUUGCUCAUUGACGUUACCCGCAGAAGAAGCACCGGCUAACUCCGUGCCAGCAGCCGCGGUAAUACGGAGGGUGCAAGCGUUAAUCGGAAUUACUGGGCGUAAAGCGCACGCAGGCGGUUUGUUAAGUCAGAUGUGAAAUCCCCGGGCUCAACCUGGGAACUGCAUCUGAUACUGGCAAGCUUGAGUCUCGUAGAGGGGGGUAGAAUUCCAGGUGUAGCGGUGAAAUGCGUAGAGAUCUGGAGGAAUACCGGUGGCGAAGGCGGCCCCCUGGAUGAAGACUGACGCUCAGGUGCGAAAGCGUGGGGAGCAAACA
rnacentral:rRNA from 1 species